GAAAUAGAUCAGAGGUAGAGCGCGUACUUAACAUGCAUGAGAUCCUGGGUUCAAUCCCCAGUACCUUCA
rnacentral:tRNA from 1 species